rnacentral:misc_RNA from 1 species
CUAGGCCCCGGCCAUAGUCU